CCACCCUUUUCCCAUUCCCUCCCUCCAAUACCUAUGUAAUUUAGGACCAGUGUAGAAGGUGUGUCUUCUGAAAUCUGUAAUACAAAGUCAAGAAAUAAUGAAGAUGAUGGAGAGAUACACAUAAAAUGGAAAAACCUCAAGUCCCAUAGAAAAGGACUUUGAAGAAAUACAAGGUGCCUUUGCCCAACCUCCAGUCUGUGGUAAGCCCUAGGACAGAUUCAUUUGA
rnacentral:lncRNA from 1 species